CAAACCAGGCGGGAAUCGAACCCGCAACUCUCGCACUCUGAGAAGCCAUACUACUAACACCACCUGGGCACUGCUUC